GAACGCUGGCGGCAUGCUUUACACAUGCAAGUCGAACGGUAACAGGGAGCUUGCUCCGCUGACGAGUGGCGAACGGGUGAGUAAUACAUCGGAAUGUACCCAGUCAUGGGGGAUAACGCUUCGAAAGGAGUGCUAAUACCGCAUACGCCCUGAGGGGGAAAGUGGGGGACUCGCAAGAGCCUCACGUGAUUGGAGCAGCCGAUGGCUGAUUAGCUAGUUGGUAGGGUAAAGGCCUACCAAGGCAACGAUCAGUAGCGGGUCUUAGAGGACGAUCCGCCACACUGGAACUGAGACACGGUCCAGACUCCUACGGGAGGCAGCAGUGGGGAAUCUUGGACAAUGGGCGAAAGCCUGAUCCAGCAAUGCCGCGUGCGUGAAGAAGGCCUUCGGGUUGUAAAGCGCUUUUGUCGGGGAGGAAAUCCUAAUCGGUUAAUACCUGUUGGGGAUGACAGUACCCGAAGAAUAAGCACCGGCUAACUACGUGCCAGCAGCCGCGGUAAUACGUAGGGUGCAAGCGUUAAUCGGAAUUACUGGGCGUAAAGCGUCCGCAGGUGGCUUGAUAAGAUAGACGUGAAAUCCCUGGGCUCAACCUAGGAAUUGCGUAUAUGACUGUCUCGCUAGAGUAUGGG
rnacentral:rRNA from 1 species